UAGAUGCGAGAGUAGAGCAUAUCAAUAAGCGGAGGAAAAGAAACUAACAAGGAUUCCCUAGUAACGGCGAGUGAAGCGGGAAGAGCUCAAAUUUGAAAUCUUCAAGGUUUACCUUGACGAAUUGUAGUUUAUAGAAGUGUUUUCUGUUAGUAGGAGUGGCAAAAGUUCUUUGGAAUAGGACAUCAUAGAGGGUGAGAAUCCCGUAUUUGGUCAUUCCUCCUAGCGUUGUGAUACACUUUCAACGAGUCGGAUUGUUUGGGAAUGCAGUCCAAAAUGGGUGGUAAAUUUCAUCUAAAGCUAAAUAUUGGCGAGAGACCGAUAGCGAACAAGUACCGUGAGGGAAAGAUGAAAAGAACUUUGAAAAGAGAGUUAAACAGUACGUGAAAUUGUCAAAAGGGAAGCGUUUGACACCAGUGUUGUUUUUCCGAAAAUCAAUUACGAAUGUUUUGUUUUUGAGGAGUUAUGACUUCAUCGGCUUGCUUCUCUCUUUACGAAACUUUCUUAAUGCACUUUUCGGUUAACAAGUCAACAUCAAUUUCUUUUGUUGUAAAAGGGUAUGAGGAAGGUGGCUUUCUUUUCGGAGAAAGUGUUUAUAGCCUUGUACCUCUGCAAUCGGAGAGAUUGAGGUCUGCAGCGUAGAUCCUUCGGGGUUAGAUACAUUUGUGCUAAGUUAUAGCUUUUCAUAGACAACUUGUUGACUAUGUUAAGUCUUGUAGCUUACUCGCUUAUGCUAUUUUACCUACGCUUAGGAUGUUGACACACGCGCGUGCUCG
rnacentral:rRNA from 1 species